rnacentral:rRNA from 1 species
AGGACGAACGCUGGCGGCGUGCUUAACACAUGCAGGUCGAGCGGAAAGGCCCUUCGGGGUACUCGAGCGGCGAACGGGUGAGUAACACGUGAGCAACCUGCCCUUAGCUCUGGGAUAGCUCCGGGAAACCGGAAUUAAUACCGGAUACGACCUAGGCCGACAUCGGCCGUGGUGGAAAGUUUUUCGGCUAGGGAUGGACUCGCGGCCUAUCAGCUAGUUGGUGGGGUAAAGGCCUACCAAGGCGACGACGGGUAG